rnacentral:rRNA from 1 species
UACAGAGGGUGCGAGCGUUGUCCGGAAUCACUGGGCGUAAAGCGCGCGUAGGUGGUUCGUUAAGUUGGAUGUGAAAUCCCCGGGCUCAACCUGGGAACUGCAUUCAAAACUGUCGAGCUAGAGUAUGGUAGAGGGUGGUGGAAUUUCCUGUGUAGCGGUGAAAUGCGUAGAUAUAGGAAGGAACACCAGUGGCGAAGGCGACCACCUGGACUGAUACUGACACUGAGGUGCGAAAGCGUGGGGAGCAAACAGG